AGUGCGCAUGCGCCCUAUAACUUCCUGUCGGCGGUGGGGGAGGUAGCCAUUCGAAAAUGGUUGUUCUCCUCCUACGAUCUCAUCUACUGGAGGUUAAGGUAAACCUCAUGUGAACUGAUAACGUUCACUGAUAAACGUACACAUUACAUUGAAAUAGACUAAGUCAAUUACUUAAUAUUAACGCUACAGGGGUGUCCGUCAAAAAUUCCUACAUAGGAAGGGGGUAAUGAAUCUUGACAUAAACUAACCUGUAAUGGGGUGGGAGGGGGAUGAAACAAAACGUAAACUAAUUUGCCGCACAUCUAUAGUUUGUAUAUAAUAAAUAAUUUCUAAAAAUUUUAUCAUUGGCUACCAGACGCAUAGCUAAGCAUAUUUCAAACAUCAAAGGUACCGCCAUAGUAUAACGCUAAUUACCGUCUACAUUUUAUAAGAACAAAGACAACGUCUGUCGUUAUGGCAUUAUAAUUUCUAAGAAUUUUAUCAUGGGUAACCAGACGCUUAGGUAAGCAUUUUUCCAACAACAAGGGUAUUACUAUAUUAAAAUGCUCAUUGGCGUCAGCAUUUUAUGAGAACUAUUGCUAUCAUCGUUUACCAGACGCUUACGUCAGCAUAUUUCAAACAUCAAAGAGGUCACCGUACAGUAAUGGUUAUUGUCGUAUGCAUCUUAUCAUCGGAUGCCAGACGCUUAGACACAUUCACUCAUUAUCUGUCUAAAGCGAUUAUACCAAAAACCAUUUGUCUGAUUAUUUCUAUUUGUUGUCCCGAAGAAUUUCUAUGACUUGUUGUCUUUUGAUAUAAAAUAAAAAUGGAGCAAUUAAAGAAACAGUUGAACGAUCAGAGUACAUUAAAAAGAUAUUCAAAAUUAAGUGAUCUGGAGGAACACUCGCCAUACAAAGUCAUAUGUAUGAAAAAUACAAGCACACGAAAUGUGGUUAUCUAUUCAACAGUAUGAAUGUGUUUAUCCCGAGAUUGAAAUUAACUAAUGAAGAAAUCGAAGCUUAUAAUAUCAACAAUAAUGAUAACAAAUUACAUUUAUUUUAUAGAGGCAAAA